UANGCCAUGCCCCCCCAUUGUAGCAAUACAAGGCAGACGGCUCAGUACCGCGUAGUCAACCUACCCUAUGGACGGGAAUAACCUCGGGAAACUGAGUAUAAUGCCCGAUAGAACACUAUACCUGGAAUGGUUUGUGUUCCAAAUGAUUUAUCGCCAUAGGAUGGGACUGCGGCCUAUCAGUUUGUUGGUGAGGUAAUGGCCCACCAAGACUAUUACAGGUACGGGCUCUGAGAGGAGUGGCCCGGAGAUGGGUACUGAGACACGGACCCAGGCCCUAUGGGGCGCAGCAGGCGAGAAAACUUUGCAAUGUGCGAAAGCACGACAAGGUUAAUCCGAGUGGUUUCUGCUAAAGGAACCUUUUGUUAGUCCUAGAAACACUGAUGAAUAAGGGGUGGGCAAGUUCUGGUGUCAGCCGCCGCGGUAAAACCAGCACCUCAAGUGGUCAGGAUGAUUAUUGGGCCUAAAGCAUCCGUAGCCGGCUCUGUUAGUUUUCGGUUAAAUCUGUACGCUUANCGUACAGGCUGCCGGGAAUACUGCANANCUAGGGAGUGGGAGAGGUGGACGGUA
rnacentral:rRNA from 1 species